CCUGGUAGGAAUAGAGGAGCCGCCCAAGCAAAGAAAGGUGUUCCACUGGGGGAAAGCCAGAUGGGGUGAAUUGAAAAAAGAAGUGAAAAAAACUGACUUCAACUUUGAGGGUCUU
rnacentral:ribozyme from 1 species